rnacentral:lncRNA from 1 species
UCUGAGCUAGGGAAUCUGGGAGUGGCCAACCCAGAGAUUCAUUCCUUAUCCAUGAUGAACAUCUGAGCCUACAGCUUACCCCAUGGAACACGGGCUGUAUAGGGAAUUGAAGCCCUGAGUUUUGGGUUAAAUGAAGCUUGCCAGGUGGAGGUCAUUACGCAGAGGGUGUUAAAUUAAAAUGCUAUAUAAACUACAUGUUAUUUGCAGGUGGCUGUGGUUUUCCUGCCCAGCCCACUACCACUGGGCCGUAGAUGAGAUGGAUAUCUUGUCCAGCCCGCUGCCACUGGACCAUUUCUGCAGGGCCCAUCUAUCACCCCAUCUUGCAGUGUGGAGCCUCGAGUUCUCCAAAUGUCCAGAUCGCAGCUGUCACUGAGCAGUUGCAUCUGUUACACAGUAAAGGAGUCCUAGAGAAGUGCUGCCAAGGGGAACUCAUAAAAAAGCCGCUGCUGGAGACUCAGAUGUGCCCUGCUGAGCGAGGCAGUCUCCUCCUACUUACCGUGCUGCAGUGAGCCGCAGUCACCCGCGGGGGAGUUGAAGAAUAAGUUGAAUAUGGUUGAACACGGUGGCAUCAUACUGCUCAGCCAUCUCUGGGGUUAACUGCAGAUGAGAUAAUUCCUGUAUAACUCCUGGAUCCUCUAGGGCAUUCUGCCACUGUAUCCACACUUCAUGGUACAAGGGCGAAUGGACAGAUCUCCAGCUUCCAAGUGAAACGUGAAGGCGACUCGACAAGGAUUUCUGUUAGGACAAUAGUUUUGCUUCAUGAAGACCAGGAAGGCUUGAACUCAGGACAAUGGGUAUCUUGAAUUUACUCAGUUCCCAUCUCUUAAGUUAUUAAACAUUAUUUCCCACCUGUCUUGUGUAUUUUUGCUUGAUCCCUAUAAUAUGGGGGCAGGCAUAAUUUUGUAUAACCCCUGUAAGACGUGUGCCAGGUACAAUUGGCCCUAUUUCCUAUGUGGGGAAACUGAGACUCAGAGCAGAGAAGCGACUCUCCUAAGUCACACGUUGUAUUGCUGGCAGAGUCUCGGGCAGGAGUCGUGCCUCCUGAUUUCCAGGUACAUGCUGCUUUUGCUAGAACCAAUCUAUUAAAGAACCAAGACUCUUUUAUUUGGAAUUAAUGAGGGAUUCCAAAAAUAGUGUUAGCAGUGCUUAACAAAUUUGAAAGAGCAAAGGAACUGAAGCCAGAGAAGACUGAGAUAGGGGAGCUGUUUCAUUGUAUCAAUUUCUAUUCACUUUGUUAAUAAUUGAUGCCACAUUUACUCAUUGUUAUAUAUUAAAAAUACUUGAUUUGCUACAAGGUAAAAAUGACCCAUUGACUU